UAAAUAUUGAAUAGAUCAAGAAAUUUUUUCUUCGUGCGAGAGCGAUAUCGAAACACAAGAUGAUCCGAAACUUGAAAUGAUGUAUACGGAAGUACUGGGGCCAUUGAGAAGAUCUUUGGAGAAGUGAAACAUUUCUGAUAGGUCGGCUAUUCAUUAAUUUAUUGCAGGCGCAGAAGCACUUGGGCAUCCCGUUGAUACACUUGUAAUAAAUCGCACAACAUUAGAGGAGGAACGUAAGAAAAGUCGAUUGAAAAUAUCUACAUGUGUUAAAAAUAAUUUCAAGGUUGCAGCUGGAGUAGUACACUGGGAUGGAAAAAUUCUUUUUGAAUUAACAGGAGUAGAGAAGGCUCUAGUCGGAACCUCUAAAUUUUCUCCGAUUGGCUUAAGAUUUCAUAAUUUGCAGAUUUUUAGGUAGCCUUACUUUUCUAGAGGGUGUCCCGCAAAAAAUAAAGGUGUUUUACUUUUUCCACAUGAAUAACGGCCACCCUAGUGAAGAGCAUAAAAAAACUAACAACUGAAAAGUGAAAGAAUUGAAUAGUGAAUAUUCAUAUAUCUCAAAUAUAACACCAUUUUUUUAGAAAAUGGGUAGAAAGUGGGAUUUGACAUCGGGGCAAAAGCAACAACUUGCAGAAAGCUAAGAACCUGAGCUAUGCAGACAUAGCAAGAACCGUUGGAAUAUCCAAGGCGUCUGUGGUAAAUGUUGCCAAAAAGUGGAAAAAUACCAACAACGUUUUAUUGCUAACUUGAAAGAGUGGUCAAAAUUGUCGCCGAGAACGCAUCACCUCAACCAGGCAGGAUCGCAAAAUCGUCGAAACAGUUCUCUGGAACCAGCAAAAAAGUCAAAACUGACACCAUGUAUGCGAAAUCGGCGGAAACUUUGGGCACAACUUCACAAAGACUUCGACGCGGAAUAUUGGAAGAAGAUCAUCUUCAGCGAUUAAUGCCGAUUGUCCCACUCUCUGGGCAACCAUCAAUACCACUACUACCUGUAUGAAAAAAUGUCAAGAAGCUUUUAGUAAAAACAACUAUGUAAACUUUUUUUAAAUGCUUUAAAAUCGCUUGCUUUUUAUUCGCUCUCAAAGCCAUAUAUAUGUAAUUUUUACCAUCGGUCAUAAUUCAAUGGCCAGGUACUGUAUAAAAACAAUUACGUGAUGAGCGUGGAAUAUACGGUUACGGGAAAUCAGUUCACUGAGGGAUCGGAGAAAGACGAUAAAUAAAUAAUUAGCACAUAAAAAUUAAAAAAUCAGUAUAAGUGAAAAUUACAAAACCAAAGUUGACUCCAAAUUUCAUAUGUUUUUGUCGG